AAUAGAGGAAACUUGUUGGUAAAAAAAAAAGAAAAGGAUUUUGAAAGGAAAGGGAUUAGUAAUUAGAAGUGAAUUAUUUUUUAAAGGCUAAAGAGUAAAGUAUUGAGAAAGAAAGUUGAGAGAUAAGGAGGAUAGAAGUAAAGAAGGAAUGAAAGUUUGUACCUUGUGUAUUAGGGGUAAUCUAAAUUAUUCUUAUAUUUAUGGAAAUCCCGAAAAAAAAAGAGCUAAAUUGAGAAAGAAGUUUUUGUUUUAAGAAAAUUUAAAAUUUUAAUUUUGUAAUGAAAUAUUAGUCGUGUUUUUAUAUCUGGUUUUUUCCGAAAAAAAUUUAAUUUUCUUUUUAUUUUAAAAGAAAAUAAAGGGUAAGGAUAGGAGGGGUGAGCUUCUUAUCCAAGAAAAUAGGGAUAAUAUAGGAGAAAUUAUUAUAUUGUUUAAUUGGAUUAGGCUUAAAAGUGGCCAUAUUAAAAAAGUGUUUAAACUAAUUUUUAGGAAUUAUUCAAAUUUAUAUUUUGUUUAUUAAUCUAAGGUAGGAGAAAGAUUUAAUAAGUAGAAAAUUAUUUGUUAAAAUGAUUAUAUUAGUAUAAGUUUUUUGUGGAAGAGAUAAAUAGAUUUUAAAGAAGGAAGAGAAUAAAAGGAAAGGAGAGAAUUUAAAGGAAUUCGGCAAAAGAAACUUCUGCCUGUUUAUCAAAAACAUGUCUAUAUGAGGUUAUAUAAAGUCUGGCCUGCCCACUGAUUGUUGAGGUUAAAGGGCCGCGGUAUAUUGACCGUGCGAAGGUAGCAUAAUCAUUAGUCUUUUAAUUGGAGGCUGGAAUGAAUGGUUUUACAAGAAGUUUACUGUCUUUAAAUUAAUAUUUGAAUUUAACUUUUAAGUGAAAAGGCUUAAAUGAUUAAAAGGGACGAUAAGACCCUAUAAAACUUUACAUGGGAGAUAUUUAAAGAAAUUAUUUAUGUUUAAAUUUGAGAAGUAUAAAAAAGUGUUUUGUUGGGGCGACAAAAAUAAAAUAUAGGUUUGUAACUGUUUAAAAUUUAAAAAUCAAAUAAUUUUUGAAAAGAAGAUGUGGUCCUUAAAAAAGAGUAAAAGAGUAAGUUACUUUAGGGAUAACAGCGUUAUUUUUUUGGAGAGUUCUUAUCAAUAAAAAAGAUUGCGACCUCGAUGUUGAAUUAAAAUUUCUUUAUAAUGCAGAGGUUAUAAGAGAAAGUCUGUUCGACUUUUAAAAUUUUACAUGAUUUGAGUUCAAACCGGUGUGAGCCAGGUUGGUUUCUAUCUUUUUUUAAAAAAAAAUUGCUUUAGUACGAGAGGACCAGGUGGUUUAAAUAGUUUAUUUAAGUGGGAAUAAAAUU
rnacentral:rRNA from 1 species